rnacentral:rRNA from 1 species
AACGAACGCUGGCGGCAUGCCUAACACAUGCAAGUCGAACGAGACCUUCGGGUCUAGUGGCGCACGGGUGCGUAACGCGUGGGAACCUGCCCUUAGGUUCGGAAUAACUCCCCGAAAGGGGUGCUAAUACCGGAUAAUGUCUUCGGACCAAAGAUUUAUCGCCUUUGGAUGGGCCCGCGUUGGAUUAGCUAGUUGGUAGGGUAAAAGCCUACCAAGGCGACGAUCCAUAGCUGGUCUGAGAGGAUGAUCAGCCACACUGGGACUGAGACACGGCCCAGACUCCUACGGGGGGGAGCAGUGGGGAAUAUUGGACAAUGGGCGAAAGCCUGAUCCAGCAAUGCCGCGUGAGUGAUGAAGGCCUUAGGGUUGUAAAGCUCUUUUACCCGGGAUGAUAAUGACAGUACCGGGAGAAUAAGCUCCGGCUAACUCCGUG